UACUAUGGUAAGAAUACUUGAUUGUAAUUGGUCGAUUUUCUUUUAGUUUACAGGUAUUGGGUAUCGAUCACAGACUUCUAUAUAUUAGAGAGACCGCUAAUUCCUUUAUACUGAACCGAAAAAUGACCUCGAGAUAUAGAAGUCUGUGCUUACAACACUUAUUGCUGAUCUAACCUAACGUAUGAAGUAAGCAGCAAGGAUAAGAUAUAUACCACGUGCGCGAGAGCGUCAGGCGUCAGGCGGGAAGAGUCAAGUCAAGCAUGGACUCAGAUGGAUCACCUGAGAUCGCCACGAAAAUCAGUAGAAUCGCUAAAGUAUAAUCAAUUAUGUAGAAUUCAAAAUCGUUUGGGCAAAUCAGUGAAAUGUAAGGAUUAGUGGCCAGCGCGACAUUGCAACGCUCCGAGGAAGCUCGAUCCAAGUAGCAUUGUCAAGAAAGUAAUAUGAAAAAUCUGUGAUCAUUUGUGAUAUUGUGUGAUUUUGUCAAAAAGAUCAUUAAAUUUGUUCUUUUUAACUCAACUAGAACGGAAUAGAAUGAGACGGCAAUUUGCAAAAAACAUUCUACCGGUCCACGCGGGUCAAUACUAAAAUUUGAAAAAAUAUGCAA